rnacentral:rRNA from 1 species
UAGGGAAUCUUCCACAAUGGGCGAAAGCCUGAUGGAGCAACGCCGCGUGUGUGAUGAGGGCUUUCGGGUCGUAAAGCACUGUUGUAUGGGAAGAACAGCUAGAAUAGGAAAUGAUUUUAGUUUGACGGUACCAUACCAGAAAGGGACGGCUAAAUACGUGCCUG